GAGAAGUAGGCAAAUGAUGCGGCUGAACAAUGCCUCCUUGACUUCAGGAUAUAAAAACUACUUUCAUGAGCUUCAAGUCAGGGUAAUGGUGCUCAGAAAAAGAAGCCAAUCAGGAGAUCUGUUUUCUGUGCCCUUUUAACACUUCUAACUCAGGCACCCAAACCAGCCUGUAGCAGAAAGAGCAUCAAAGCCAUCCUCUGGACUCUACACAAGCCUUUGUCCUAUGUCUGGAGACUUCUUGGAAGCUGGAGCACACAAAUAGCUACAGCAAACUUGAGGAAUGGGCAUGAAUAGACUGGCUUCGGGGAACCUGCCAGCUUGGCCGUGUGGCCAAGGUAAUAGGCAAGCCAAGGCAGAGCUAGAGCUCAGAGCUGGAGGGGAAAUUAAAGCAGCAAAUGUAGAAACAUUAAGCCUGAAGAGGCGACGACGUUGAAUUCUAAAAUGCAGGCCAAAGCUCAGACUGCAAGCUGUCUGGCUGCUCCGGGUGUGCCCAGAAGUCAAAGUCCAGCAGGGGCAAAGGUGGAGGUGUGGUCCUGCACGUGGGGUGUUGGGGGGAUGUGGAAGAGGAGGUGCUUUAAGAUCCAGAGAUUCCAGCUGCCCUGGUGCACCCUUGGAAGAAUAAAAGGCUAGGAACUGGACAAGUCAGGCUCGAGUCCAAGCUGCCUGAGGAAUCGGGGAAAGAAUGGAGCUCAGAGUGGGAGGUCAGGGCAGUAUUUAAAAAUCCAGGAUAGCAGCAAAGCUGGCGGUGGCCCCUGACUCUGGUAAGGGCAGCCUGCAGCACCAUGCCAAGGGGGGCCUGACUGAUCAUGCCCUGCAUUUGCAAACAAGGAUUAGUAGGGUAUGAGUAGGAUUCUGCUGGUGCCUGGGAAGGCAGUGCCAUCUACAACUUUACAAAGUUUUAACAAAGGCCUGAAGGACACAACCUUCCCCAAAGUCCUGACGUCGCUGUUUGCUGGCAACAAAUAGAGUCAAAAGAAGAGAGGCACAGAAUGUGCCAGGGGUGUGCUGCGUACAGCCCCGAUGACCACAAGGCCUUCUUGGGUCAAGUUCUGCCAUCUCUGGUUAAGAUGGGCUCACCCUCUAGGACCCUGAUUGAGUCCUCGGACCACCAAGAGUGCCCCACCAAGAGCCUCCCUCUUCUGGUGACUCGUGCCUGCUUCCCGUGGAGAGCUCCAGAAGGGAGGAAACUGUGAGGAGGUGGAGAACGUGGCAGGGAUCCUAACUUUCUUACUGAAGGAAGUUCUUCACAAGUACCCAUCUGCCUUCAGGGAAGAAAACAUAACUCAUUUUGGUCUUUCAAAUUCAGUUCUCAAAACCAAAUCCUGUUGUCAGCAAUCUGUGUCCCAACGCCUUCUUCAGCAACAGCAUUUUCCCUGUGGAAUUAGUUUCCAAUGUUCUUUCUUAAAUAAACCACUGAAGAUUAAAAGGAAUCCAGAUACCCACCA
rnacentral:lncRNA from 1 species